CAUCUACGUACGUCUGACUAAAACUGUCUAUUGUCAGAAUAAGUCUAUACGUUGACGUUAUCUGCAUAUGGGCUUUAGGUGUUUCACGAUCAAACUUCCUGCAAGACUGCAACUCGCAACUAGUCAUUGCGGUGCAGCAGAACAUAAGGGGGCCGUGGCACUGUUUGAGCCGGGAGACGUGGACGAUUUCCAGGCCUCGACGACGUUGGUUUGGAGACGCUUCCAUGGACUCAAUGAAGUAGGAUCGCGUUGCCGGAUGACGUCAGGGCAGAUCGUGGUUGUGGAUACGGCAGCAGAAGCCUGGGACGGUCCCGGAUCAACCACUGCAUCAGCUGGUGGUAGAGUACAGCUACGGAGGUCCAAGAUGUUGAAGAAAAAGCCAGCACCACCACCAAAUACAAUGGGAGUAGUUGCCUCGCAGCACUUGAUGUAGCUGUGCAGUAGUAAGCCUGAACAUGUGAGUUGGAGCUAUGGCGAUUUGGGCGAUCAAGCUCUCCACGCGUUUUUCUAUACUUUCACCAACACCGUGCCCGCUGCCUUCAGUACAGAGUGUAUAUCCUAUAUUCCAAUAAUACAGUUGUUAUUGUG